UAAAAGGUUUUCCUUAAAAACACUUCACACAAACAAAAACAAUGUUU
rfam:Takifugu rubripes genomic scaffold, scaffold_652